CGUGAAUGGCUCCUCCAGUGAUCCCAAGCGGCAAUCUCCCAGCCAAGAGCGCGUCUGCCCUCUCCUUCAUCCCGUGAUCCCCCUCCACGGAUCAAGCUUCCGCGUCUCCAAUGCCAUCAUCGCGCCCAGCCGCUCGCUUGCAUCCAUCUCCUCCAGCGAUCCCGCGUGCAUCAGCUCCCGGAAUCCAAGCCUCCCGUGAUGCUAGCAGUGGUCCCAGCAAAGAUCCCGCAGCGCCCUUUCAUCCAAAUCCCAUCCCCCGCGUCCGAGCUCCAUGGAUCGUGCCGCAGUCAAGCCUCCGAGUCCGCCCCUUCCGGAAUCCCAAGCAUCCUCACUCGACCUAUAAAGAGGGUGCCCAUUGGAAGAAGAAGGGGAGGGGGAGCUCGGCUCGGUGCGGGAUUGGGGCCAAGAAAUAGAGGUUGGGGAGAAGAGGGAAUUCAGCUGGGUGGUGGUCGGCAG
rnacentral:lncRNA from 1 species